rnacentral:rRNA from 1 species
CGUGGAGACAGGUGGUGCAUGGCUGUCGUCAGCUCGCGUCGUGAGAUGUUGGGUUAAGUCCCGCAACGAGCGCAACCCUUGAUGUUAGUUGCCAGCAUUCGGUUGGGCACUCUAAGGAGACUGCCGGUGUCAAACCGGAGGAAGGUGGGGAUGACGUCAAGUCCUCAUGGCCUUUAUGCCCAGGGCUACACACGUGCUACAAUGGCCGGUACAAAGGGUUGCAAUCCCGCGAGGGGGAGCGAAUCCCAAAAGCUGGUCCCAGUUCGGAUUGGAGUCUGCAACUCGACUCCAUGAAGUCGGAAUCGCUAGUAAUCGUGGAUCAGCAUGCCACGGUGAAUACGUUCCCGGGCCUUGUACACACCGCCCGUCACACCACGAAAGUCUGCUGUACUCGAAGUCGCUGAG